GAAAAGGAAUUUGAUAACAAGUUACAUGUGAUUACACACUGGUCGCCAACUUUCCGAACAGUUGACUACUAGGGCAGGAAUUGGAGGGCGCUGCCCCUCUUGAUGCUCGUCAUGUUUUGAUUCAAACGGCGGU
ensembl:ncRNA F47C8.6 ncRNA